AUGAGACUACUAGGGUUUCUCCUGUGCUUGGCAGCAGCUCUGAAAGUAUUCUGUCCCAGAUUCAGCUUAAGGAAUCAGGACCUGCUGUCAUCAAGCCAUCAUAGUCACUGUCUCUCACCUGCACAGUCUCUGGAUUCUCCAUCACUAGUAGUGGUUUUUGCUGGCACUGGAUAUGCCAGCCCCCAGGAAAGGGGUUAGAGUGGAUGGGGCGCAUAUGUUAUGAAGGUUCCAUAUACUAUAGUCCAUCCCUCAAAAGUCCCAGCACCAUCUCCAGAGACAUAUCACUGAAUAAAUUCUUUAUCCAGCUGAGCUCUGUAACUGAUGAGGACACAGCCAUGUACUACUAUUCCAGGGAAAACCA